ACGUACGCUGGCGGCACGCCUAACACAUGCAAGUCGAACGAAGUAGCAAUACUUAGUGGCAGACGGGUGAGUAACAUGUAGGUAUCUGCCCUUUGGCCUGGAAUAACACGAGGAAACUUGUGCUAAUACCGGAUAAGUCUUUACGGAGAAAGCUUUAUGCACCAUUGGAUGAGCCUGCACUUGAUUAGUUUGUUGGUGGGGUAAUGGCCUACCAAGACUGUGAUCAAUAGCUGAUUUGAGAGGAUGAUCAGCCACAUUGGGACUGAGACACGGCCCAAACUCCUACGGGAGGCAGCAGUGGGGAAUCUUGCACAAUGGAGGAAACUCUGAUGCAGCGAUGCCGCGUGAGUGAAGAAGGCCUUUGGGUUGUAAAGCUCUUUCGUCGGGGAAGAAAAUGACUGUACCCGAAUAAGAAGGUCCGGCUAACUUCGUGCCAGCAGCCGCGGUAAUACGAAGGGACCUAGCGUAGUUCGGAUUUACUGGGCUUAAAGAGUUCGUAGGUUGUUGAAAAAGUUGGUGGUGAAAUCCCAGAGCUUAACUCUGGAACUGCCAUCAAAACUUUUCAGCUAGAGUAUGAUAGAGGAAAGCAGAAUUUCUAGUGUAGAGGUGAAAUUCGUAGAUAUUAGAAAGAAUACCAAUUGCGAAGGCAGCUCUCCGGAUCAUUACUGACACUGA
rnacentral:rRNA from 1 species